AACAAAUUGAAUAUAAAGCUUUUUUUUCUCACGAACUACUUAGUCAAUGUCAUUGCUGUCCUACUUUGAAAAGUGAAAAAUCUACGCUCUAGGCACUCUUCAAUUUUCACAGUGUAAUCGUUCCAUCAGAGCAUCGGUGGACUCAUGUUUCUCUCAAUACAUUCGAUUCACACAUACACUGGUAAAA